rnacentral:rRNA from 1 species
GACGAACGCUGGCGGCGUGCUUAACACAUGCAAGUCGAACGGAAAGGCCCUGCUUUUGUGGGGUGCUCGAGUGGCGAACGGGUGAGUAACACGUGAGUAACCUGCCCUUGACUUUGGGAUAACUUCAGGAAACUGGGGCUAAUACCGGAUAGGAGCUCCUGCUGCAUGGUGGGGGUUGGAAAGUUUCGGCGGUUGGGGCUGGACUCGCGGCUUAUCAGCUUGUUGGUGGGGUAGUGGCUUACCAAGGCUUUGACGGGUAGCCGGCCUGAGAGGGUGACCGGCCACAUUGGGCCUGAGAUCCGGCCCAGACUCCUACGGGAGGCAGCAGUGGGGAAUAUUGCACAAUGGGCGGAAGCCUGAUGCAGCAACUCCGCGUGCGGGAUGACGGCCGUCGGGUUGUAAACCGCUUUCGCCUGUGACGAAGCGUGAGUGACGGUAAUGGGUAAAGAAGCACCGGCUAACUACGUG